UGGGGCCACCUUUAUCGAUGUUGGCCUAUUUAUAAGCACAAGAGUUCAUAAAUAUAAGAUGUGGAGUGAUGUCUCUGUUCAGACCCUAUAGGAUCUGAAAGGUUAGAUUGAUAAUGAGGUUUGGAAUCGAAGCAUGACGUAAGGAGAGAACCAAAGCAAGGAAGAAUAGUGGGGAGUAUUGUAUACUGUAAAGCGGAUAGAUAGAGAUAGAAAGAGGUAUUUGUGUUAGUGGAGUUGGAGUACCAGUUUGUACAGAGAAAAUGGGAAAAGAUAUAGAUUAUAGAAUCAAUAUGCUUCUUUCUUGAAUUGGUAACAUUGUCGUUUUCAGUUGCUUCUGUGGUUGAAGAUGUGCUUCAACAACACGGUACUCGCCUCAAAGAUCUUGAUUUGGAAUCUAGAAAGGUGGAAUAAGCUGCUAUUUUGAGACUGAAAAAUAAAUUAUAUAAAAUGCAACAUUUAGAAGAUAUGAAGCAGCAUGGUGGUUGAGAAAAAAUGGUUGGAGUUGUUGCAGCUAAAUAUUUACCCGUAGAGACUUCUAAGGAAGAGUUUAGGCUUUGUUUGUGGAGUGGAAUCAUUCUUUGUAAUGUUCUUAACAAAGUUCAACUAGGUGAUGUAUUCAACGUCAGUUUGGAUGUUCCUUAUUUUAUCUACUCUAUGUUUUUAGUUA